rnacentral:rRNA from 1 species
GACGUAGGGCGCGAGCGUUGUCCGGAUUUAUUGGGCGUAAAGAGCUCGUAGGCGGCUCGGUAAGUCGGAUGUGAAACCUCCAGGCUCAACCUGGAGACGCCAUCUGAUACUGCCGUGGCUUGAGUCCGGUAGAGGAGCAGGGAAUUCCUGGUGUAGCGGUGAAAUGCGUAGAUAUCGGGAGGAACACCUGAGGCGAUGGCGGGUUACUGGGCUGAUACUGACGCUGAUGCGCGAAAGCCAGGGAGCAAAGCGGG